GUUGCACCGUAUGACGUGUUCACGGAACUCGAUAUUUUAUUUCAAUUGAGGGAGUUAGACGAAUUCGUCAACUUGUCGUGCCAGUUUAAUGCUCAAGUCCUUGUUACAGUAAAGUAUGAAGGCAUUUGGCUUUCGGAGUAAAAAUUGUGGCAUUUUCGAUGGUUUUAAAUCCGUAUUUCCACUGUUCAAAUGGCGAAGUUCUCUCUACAAAUUGUGCUAUAAAGAACUUAUUUUUCUACUCAUUCCAUACCUGAUCCUGACCGUCGUAUACCGAUAUGCUCUCAACGAAGAUGGGAAGAGACUGUUUGAAGAGCUGGUCCGUUAUUUUGAUCGAUAUUUGGAAAUGAUUUCUCUUCCAUUUAUCUUGGGAUUCUAUGUUGCCACUGUUGCGGCUAGGUGGUGGCAGCAAUAUAUGGCGUUGCCUUGGCCUGAUCGAUUGAUUUUGACCGUUGCUGCCUAUAUUCAGGGUACUGAUUCGGAAUCCCGAAAGUUAAAGAAAACUUUAGUUCGCCAUUGCAAUCUAAUGGGUGUGUUGCUGAUACGUUCACUGGCGACUAGCGUCAGUAACCGUAAGAAAACCCUGGAGGACGCAGUCAAAUCAGGUUUUAUGACGAAAACGGAAAUGAGGUGUUACGAAUCGAUUGAAUCGGAUGUGAAUUUGUAUUGGUUACCUGGCCUGUGGUUCGCUCAGAAUUUGCAAGAAGCAUUUAUGAAAGGCCAUAUCAAGGAUACGUACGCCGUUAAACUGAUUAUGGAGGAAUUGUUAGAUUUUCGCGGAAAAUGUGGUACUUUAUGGACUUAUUCUUGGAUCAGUAUUCCACUUAUUUACACGCAGGUUGUGACUUUGGCUGUGUAUUCUUUUUUCUUUGCUUGCAUUAUGGGUCAUCAGCGUAUUGUCGACCAGACGUCUCCCGAGGAUGGUCUCACGGCAGACCUCUACUAUGGGCUUUCUCUAGUACUAAAGUUUUUUUUUUAUAUGGGAUUACUUAAGCUGGCUGAACAAAUGAUAUGUCCCUAUGGCAAUGGUGAUGAACAUUUCGAUGUAGACUUCCUGUUAAACCGUCACGCCGAGGUACCGAUACGUUAUCGGAACAAUGUCCUUUAGCCUCCCAAGAGCUCCUUAGUCAGGGAGAAAACAGUCUCGAGGAAAAAGAUCCGGAUAAUGAUGAGGAGCAGAAAAUGAAAUCCACCGACUAUCCAUACGAUUCAGCUGCGUUGAGGAAGUUCAGCGCCUUAAACAACCUACGUCGUCCUACGAGAGUGUCACUCCAGAACGGUAACGCUGCGGUUCCAUCUUUCGCCAACAGUGACGCAACUUUACAGAGUGUUCAACAUGAACCAGAUAACCCAUCAC
rnacentral:misc_RNA from 1 species